CUCCACCUGUCGCCCCGGAUCAGCCUGCCCCACCGGCUGCAGUUCAUCCCGAUUUGCGGGUGCCAGCUCAUGCACCAUUCGCAAGAUACACCGUCGAGGAUUUGCUUGCCCAGCCCGGACGAGAGGGUUUACACGUUCUGGACCCCGAUAGACCCCCGGGUACUUAUUGGUUUGGGGCUAACAACCGUGUUAGCCGGAGCGUUUCAGAGACGAUGAAGGGAUAUUAUGACGGCCCUUAUCCCAACUGGACCAUGACUCCCGAUCACGUCAAGACGACGUGGUUUAAAUGUUUUGCGGUAAUUAUAUUUACAUAUUAUUAAUAUUUAUAUUGUUAAUUAAAUAAUUAUUUUUUUUUUUCUAAUCUUUUAAAAUGUUUGUUUUUUCAGCAAAGGUGGAACUGGUCCGUAGGAAUCACCGAGAGGGUGAAGAGCGAAUUUAUUGCAAAGGCGAAAACUCGUCUUUGCAACACCGUCUCCGAUUGGAAGGACAAGUGGGAGAUUUACGGCUAUGAGGGGAAGCCGAGCGGGGUCACAAAGGAAGCAUGGGAUGGCCUCAUCACCUAUUGGAACGAACCCAGCUCCAUCCGCAAAGCCAACUCCUGCUCCGCUUCCC